UACAGAGGGGGCAAGCGUUAUUCGGAAUUAUUGGGCGUAAAGGGCGCGUAGGCGGCCUUUCAAGUGACGGGUGAAAUCCCUCGGCUUAACCGAGGAACUGCCUGUCAGACUGAGAAGCUUGAGUUCGGGAGAGGUGAGUGGAACUGCGAGUGUAGAGGUGAAAUUCGUAGAUAUUCGCAAGAACACCAGUGGCGAAGGCGGCUCACUGGCCCGAUACUGACGCUGAGGUGCGAAAGCGUGGGGAGCAAACAGG
rnacentral:rRNA from 1 species